rnacentral:tRNA from 1 species
GGGCUCGUAGCUCAGCGGUUAGAGCGGCCGGCUCAUAACCGGUUGGUCGCAGGUUCGAUCCCUGCCGGGCCCACCA